rnacentral:rRNA from 1 species
CAGCAGCCGCCGCGGUAAUACGGAGGGUGCAAGCGUUAAUCGGAAUUACUGGGCGUAAAGCGCACGCAGGCGGUUUGUUAAGUCAGAUGUGAAAGCCCCCGGCUCAACCGGGGAGGGUCAUUGGAAACUGGGAAACUUGAGUGCAGAAGAGGUAAGUGGAAUUCCGAGUGUAGAGGUGAAAUUCGUAGAUAUUCGGAAGAACACCAGUGGCGAAGGCGGCUCACUGGACUGGUAUUGACGCUGAGGUGCGAAAGCGUGGGGAGCAAACAGGAUUAGAUACCCCGGUAGUCCCUGUCUCUUAUAC